CCGCAUUCGAUCCCCGGGCUGCAUGGCCUGGGGAUGAAAGGUGGCCUCUGCUUGCAAGCCGCCGCCGAUGGAUGGUCCCGCGUCCCAUUAGCUAGUUGGUAGGGUAACGGCCUACCAAGGCUGCGAUGGGUAGGCGGCCUGAGAGGGUGACCGCCGUCACUGGGACUGAGAUACGGCCCAGACUCCUACGGGAGGCAGCAGUCGAGAAGCUUCGGCAAUGGGCGAAAGCCUGACCGAGCGACGCCGCGUGAGCGAUGAAGGCCCUAGUGGUUGUAAAGCUCUGUCAGAUUGGGAAUAAAUGCCGGGGGCGAAUAACCCCUGGAGCUGAAGGUACCGUCAGAGGAAGCACCGGCUAACUCCGUGCCAGCAGCCGCGGUAAUACGGAGGGUGCAAGCGUUGUUCGGAUUCACUGGGUAUAAAGGGUGCGUAGGCGGCCUUGUAAGUCAGAGGUGAAAGCUGCCGGCUUAACUGGCAAAUUGCCUUUGAGACUGCAAGGCUUGAGUCCGGGAGAGGAAGGCGGAAUUCCAGGUGUAGCGGUGAAAUGCGUAAAUAUCUGGAGGAACACCGGUGGCGAAGGCGGCCUUCUGGUCCGGUACUGACGCUGAGGCACGAAAGCCAGGGGAGCAAACGGGAUUAGAUACCCCGGUAGUCCUGGCCGUAAACGAUG
rnacentral:rRNA from 1 species